AGCAGUGUAGCUCAGUGCUAGAGCACAUGCUAAGCAUGUGCUAGGCCCUUGGUUCAACCCCAGCACUUCAA
rnacentral:tRNA from 1 species